rnacentral:rRNA from 1 species
GACGAACCGUGCAAACGUUGUUCGGAAUCACUGGGCUUAAAGGGCGCGUAGGCGGACCGCAAAGUCAGGGGUGAAAUCCUCCAGCUUAACUGGAGAACUGCCUCUGAUACUGGCGGUCUCGAGUAAGGUAGGGGCGUGCGGAACUGAUGGUGGAGCGGUGAAAUGUGUUGAUAUCAUCAGGAACUCCGGUGGCGAAAGCGGCACGCUGGACCUUCACUGACGCUGAGGCGCGAAAGCCAGGGGAGCAAACGGG